GACGAACGCUGGCGGCGGGCUUAACACAUGCAAGUCGAACGGGUGUAGCAAUACAUCAGUGGCAGACGGGUGAGUAACACGUGGGAACCUUCCUAGGGGUACGGGACAACUCAGGGAAACUUGAGCUAAUACCGUAUACGUCCGUGAGGAGAAAGAUUUAUCGCCCUUAGACGGGCCCGCGUCGGAUUAGCUAGUUGGUGGGGUAACGGCCUACCAAGGCGACGACCCGUAGCUGAUCUUAGAGGAUGAUCAGCCACACUGGGACGGAGACACGGCGCAGACUCCUACGGGAGGCAGCAGUGGGGAAUCUUGGACAAUGGGCGCAAGCCUGAUCCAGCCAUGCCGCGUGAGUGAAGAAGGUCUUCGGAUUGUAAAGCUCUUUUGCCAGGGACGAUAAUGACGGUACCCGGAGAAUAAGCCCCGGCAAACUUCGUGCCAGCCGCCGCAGUAA
rnacentral:rRNA from 1 species